UGUAGCAGUGAAAUGCGUAGAGAUGUGGAGGAAUACCGAUGGCGAAGGCAGCCUCCUGGGAUAACACUGACGUUCAUGCUCGAAAGCGUGGGUAGCAAACAGGAUUAGAUACCCUGGUAGUCCACGCCCUAAACGAUGACAAUUAGCUGUUGGGACACUAGAUGUUUUAGUAGCGAAGCUAACGCGUGAAAUUGUCCGCCUGGGGAGUACGGUCGCAAGAUUAAAACUCAAAGGAAUUGACGGGGACCCGCACAAGCGGUGGAUGAUGUGGAUUAAUUCGAUGCAACGCGAAGAACCUUACCUGGUCUUGACAUGUACGGAAUCUCUUAGAGAUAGGAGAGUGCCUUCGGGAGCCGUAACACAGGUGCUGCAUGGCUGUCGUCAGCUCGUGUCGUGAGAUGUUGGGUUAAGUCCCGCAACGAGCGCAACCCUUGUCAUUAGUUGCCAUCAUUAAGUUGGGCACUCUAAUGAGACUGCCGGUGACAAACCGGAGGAAGGUGGGGAUGACGUCAAGUCCUCAUGGCCCUUAUGACCAGGGCUUCACACGUCAUACAAUGGUCGGUACAGAGGGUAGCGAAGCCGCGAGGUGAAGCCAAUCUCAGAAAGCCGAUCGUAGUCCGGAUUGCACUCUGCAACUCGAGUGCAUGAAGUCGGAAUCGCUAGUAAUCGCAGGUCAGCAUACUG
rnacentral:rRNA from 2 species